AUUGAACGCUGGCGGCAUGCCUUACACAUGCAAGUCGAACGGCAGCACGGGUGCUUGCACCUGGUGGCGAGUGACGAACGGGUGAGUAAUGCGUAGGAAUCUACCUUAUAGUGGGGGAUAACUCGAGGAAACUCGAGCUAAUACCGCAUAAUCUCUAAGGAGCAAAGCGGGGGACCUUCGGGCCUCGUGCUGUAAGAUGAGCCUACGUCGGAUUAGCUAGUUGGUGGGGUAAUAGCCUACCAAGGCGACGAUCCGUAGCUGGUCUGAGAGGACGAUCAGCCACACUGGGACUGAGACACGGCCCAGACUCCUACGGGAGGCAGCAGUGGGGAAUAUUGGACAAUGGGGGAAACCCUGAUCCAGCAAUGCCGCGUGUGUGAAGAAGGCCUUCGGGUUGUAAAGCACCUUCAGUGGGGAAGAAAGAACCAAAAUUAAUACUUUUGGGUGUCGACGUUACCUACAGAAGAAGCACUGGCUAACUCUGUGCCAGCAGCCGCCGUAA
rnacentral:rRNA from 1 species